GACGAACGCUGGCGGCGUGCUUAACACAUGCAAGUCGAACGCUGAAGCACCAGCUUGCUGGUGUGGAUGAGUGGCGAACGGGUGAGUAAUACGUGAGUAACCUGCCCUUGACUCUGGGAUAAGCCCGGGAAACUGGGUCUAAUACUGGAUGCUACAUGUCACCGCAUGGUGGUGUGUGGAAAGGGUUUACUGGUCUUGGAUGGGCUCACGGCCUAUCAGCUUGUUGGUGAGGUAAUGGCUCACCAAGGCGACGACGGGUAGCCGGCCUGAGAGGGUGACCGGCCACCUGGGGACUGAGAAACGGCCCAGACUCCUAGGGGGGGCAGCAGGGGGGAAUAUUGCACAAUGGGCGAAAGCCUGAUGCAGGGGCGCCGGGGGGGGGAUGACGGCCUUCGGGUUGUAACCCUUUUUCAGCAGGGAAGAAGCCACAAGGGACGGUACCGGCAAAAGAAGGCCCGGCAAACUACGU
rnacentral:rRNA from 1 species